rnacentral:rRNA from 1 species
AUUGAACGCUGGCGGCAUGCCAACACAUGCAAGUCGAACGAGUGGCGAACGGGUGAGUACUGCCUCGGAAGCUGCCCGGUAGUGGGGGAUACCUCCGGGAGAGGGGAGCUAAUACCGCAUACUAUAAGAUCGGCCUCGGUCGGAUUAGCUAGUUGGUGGGGUAACGGCUUACCAAGGCGACGAUCCGUAGCUGGUCUGAGAGGACGAUCAGCCACACUGGGACGGAGACACGGUCCAGACUCCUACGGGAGGCAGCAGUGGGGAAUUUUGGACAAUGGGGGAAAGCCUGAUCGAGCCACGCCGCGUGGGUGAAGAAGGUCUUCGGAUGGUAAAGCACUGUUGUUAGGGAAGCGGUACCUACAGAAAAAGCACCGGCUAACUACGUGCCAGCAGCCGCGGUAAUUC